rnacentral:lncRNA from 1 species
UCAGCUUAUGGUGAUGGAAAGAGAGAUGUCAAUAAUUCCACAUUUUCUGGCUUGCAUUGUUUGAUGAAAGGUGACCCCAUUCCCUGAGUUAAAGAAUGCUGAAAGAAGACCAGGCUUGAGGAGGAAGGAUCAUGCAUUUGCUUUUGGACCUGUAGAGUUUGAGGACAUGUUCAGCACCAGGAGGAAUUUGCAUCCAAGUCCGUCUCCCUGCUAAGUGGUAUUUUGAGAAUUCCGAAGCUUAGUCUCAGAGAAGAGCUGACCUGAACUUGCCGAGGCUCCCACUGCAUUGUAGCUUUUCUCUGGAGAACAAAAACUGCCAUUGUCCAGCAGCUCAUUAGCAUGACUGUACAGCCUCCGGAGUUAGCAAGGUGAUGCAAAAAUAAUAUGACAAGAUCCAUGUCUUCAAUGAGCUACAAUCCUACUGGGACAUGAGACUGUGCUUAUAAUAUGAUGAAAGAAUAAGAAAAUUUUAAAGCUAUAACAGGCAGAGCACAAGAACAAGCAGAGCUAUAACAAGCAGAGCACAAGAAGGAAGAGUGCAGAUCCAGGACUGGGACACUUAACCAAUAAUAAUACAAAUAGUGAGUACUGUUAGUUGAUUUUCCAGGCUCCUCUUCUCACUUGUAAUGGAAUUACAAAUUAUUUUGUUGGUCAUUGACACUAACCCCAGAUUCAGAAGGAGAUUUGAUUAGAGUAGUGUGAGUAUAAUCUCAUUGCUACUUCCAUAGCAAUUGGUUUGGGGUGAAUACUGUUGGGUGACAGCAGAGGGAGAUUAUUUCAUUUCCUGUGAUCUGUGUUCAAGGAAUUAUGGUGUUUUAAUUGCUGCUAGUAGCACUUUACUUUAGGAUGAAACCUGGUACAUACAUGUAAAGCACUUUAAACAGUUCCUGGUGCAAAGUAAAUGCUUAACAUGUGUUCUUUAUUGCUAUGGUUUGAAUGUAUGUGCCCCUCCAAAAUUCAUUUGUUGGAACUUAAACCCCAAGGUGAUGGUAUUAAGAGAUGGAGCCUUUGGAAGGUGACUGAGCCAUAAGCGCUCUGCCCUCAUUGAUGGGAUUAGUGCCCUCAUAAAAGAGCUUGAGGAGCUAGUUCUCCCUUUUUGUCCUUUUGCCCUUCC